GUAGAGGAGCUGGACCGUUUAGGAAAAGAAAAAAUGAAGACCCUUAUUCAUAGAGACCACAUGUUAAGACUGAACAUCCCACUCCUCAUGUGGGCAUUUCCACCCAUUACUAAAAUUGAUAUUUGGAUGCCUUCGUGCCUGUUGGAGAACCCAAAUAAGGAUUUCAGGUGACUGAGUACAAACAGAUAGCAUGGCAUUUAGAAACAGACAGCAAGAAGUAGAAGGGAAAAUGUGUGUGCAGCAAUUUAACGAGGUUUGGAUUACAAAUUCAGUUUCCUUAUCUUUUUGCCAGCAUGUGGCAACAGUUCUAAAGGAGACAGAAAAUGCAUUGAAUGCCAGGAGAAAGAUGAAGAUCCCCCCAAACUCAACUUUAUAAACAGUCCUGGUGGAAUAUUCACAAUGUGGAAGUCAGGAUAAACUGGCUAUUCCACCCGCCACUGCCCCCCAGGAAAAGAAAAGCCUAAAUGAAUAAGAAAGCCAACGGAAAUAAGUGCUUUUUAGUAAAGAUCAUCGCAUUUGGUGCUGUGAGUGGCAGGAAGCGUUGGCACAGACUUGGGAGCUACAUGAGGACUCCGGUGGCGUGGUCAGGGUGAAGUGAGCCUGACUUCCUGGCCUGGCCUCCCCAGACUAAUAAUCAAAAAGAGCUGCCCUUCCCCAGCCCUAAACAGCCCUGUGUGAACACAGUGUCUCCUAGUAGUGCCUGUGGCUUACAAGUAAUGUGAGAGUCUUUUUAUAACUGUUGAGGUUUAACGUAAAAGGAAGCUCAGAAUCAGCGGUAAAGGGAGGGGAAUGUUGUGAACUACAGACCAUCUGAAAUGGGGAAAAUCAUAAAUACCAGAGUGUCUGAUUAUUUGAAUGUCUCUUGAAGUCAAAUAAUGAACCUUCUUCAUGUUCUGCUUUUCUGGACUUGGCUCCCUCUGACAAAUUUGCAGGCAUCAGGGUCUGUCUGGAAUUCCUUCCAAGUUGGAGGGAUAUUUUUUCCCUUGACAUUUUGCAGCUGAGACAGCCGGAGCAGGAAGCUGAGGAGCGUAACAUUACCAAAUAUGUCCUUUCUCCUGCCCGUAAGUUCUAUUUCCACAGGAAAAGAAGGCAGAUGCUGGCCAAUGAGAACUGGCCAGUAGAAAUGCAGCCACAGCAGGCGGCCUCUACUGGAAGUGAGGAAAUUGAUCAGAUGCCAUUUUUCACAAAAAUGGAAACUGUUCUAGGUACCACCAAUUAAAAUUUGUGCUACGCUGGAGGAAGAAGUUUGACAGGUUCCUACAAGUUGCCCAGCUAUUUCAGGGGAAUUCUUUAUCACUCUAUUGGUCUCAUUUUCUCAACACCCCUGGAGUGGGAAUUAGAGAGUUGGCCUUGGCUGCUGACACACUGUGCUUUUGACCAGAUCAUUUCUCCUAGGAUGUGGGGGAAGCUUCAGAUGCUUUAUUGCUAAAAUGAAGGUUUGGAUGUGAUGAGCUCCCAGAUCCCCUCUGGGUUACCAAGACUGUGGUCUCCAAGCUUCUUCAAUCGUGUGUUUCAACCACUAAAAUAAAUCCAAAUAUUUGUCC
rnacentral:lncRNA from 1 species